rnacentral:lncRNA from 1 species
AGUAGAAGAAACCAGAAAGCUAGGGCCAAACAGAUUUGGUAAUAUAUUCCACACAAAUUUACAGCAAAAUUGGCAAUAAGGGGAUUCCCAAUUUUCUGGAAAUGUGAAUAAAAAAAUUGAAAGCGAAUUUAUAGAUUAUCCAGAGUUUGGAUUUGGUAAUCUUAUCGGAAUUUCCCUUUUUUAUUCUUACUACAUCUUCUUCUCCGUUUAAUAUUGACAAAAGAAUGUUGUUGUUUUUUUACUUUUAUGAGUUUUCAACGGAGGAGAGAGAGUAAAUUCGUGUAGAAUUGGAAAGUUCUUUUAAUUUAAUCCGAACGCGUAAAAUUGAUUUUUCUUUUCGAAGCAAAGAACUUUCCUGAUACGACCCGGGUCGCCCAGUUGCUUGAUUAGUUAUGGGUCAACAAGUUCUUUGCUCGUUAUUAGGUGUCCCAUCUUGGGUGGUCACUUUUUGGGACCGCUAGGGGAAACUUUCGGAAAUUAUUAUUAUUUGGCGGCUUAUUGCUGGCGUGGCUAUAAUUUAGCUAAUUAUAUUUCGAAACUACUAAUUAUUUGACAUGUGAUUUACAGUAUAUUCAAUUCAGAUGUAUUCGUUCUUAUAUAUUUUACAUUGUAUUCAAUUUUAACUUUAUUGAAUUCAGUUGUAUUCAAACAACAAAAAAUCAAGAAAUGAGGUGUAUACCGCUCAAUUCAAUUCAAUUCGUCUGUAUAUGUUGUAUUCAAAUUCGGCUAUAUUCAUUCUUCACUAUUUUACAUUGUAUUCAAUUUCACUGUAUGUAAUUCGAUUGUAUUCAAAUAAUAAAAAAUCACAAAAACAUUGAUAUUCAACUGUAUUCAAUUCACUAUAUUCAUUCGUAGCUGCUUCUACACUGUAUUUAAUUUACUGUAUUUAAUUCGGAUGUACUCAGACAACAAAAAUUCAAAAACAAUACAGGGAUCUGCCAUAAAAAAAUAACCUUCGGAAUACAUUAAAAAAAUUAUUUGCAUUAAAAAAUACAUAAAACACUCAAAUUUGAGUGUAUUUGUACAGAAUACAAUGUAUUUGUAUCAUUAUAUGUGAUUCAAUAGCAAAUAAGAGAAGAAAGUUCACUGGAGAAAAGGACGAAUAGUGGACAAGAAACAAAGCGUAGCAGGGCAAGUAAGAGGAUGAGGAGGAAAUAUAGAAGUAGUUAUGGUUCUGGUUACAUUACCGGUGAUGAGAUUUCUGGCUCUGUGGGAUACGAAUCUCUGCAUUGUAAAAUCUAGUCACGAUUAUAAAGAAGAAAACAGGGCAAGGAUUAGAGGGUCAAGAUUCAAAAAGCAAGUGUGUCUCACUUGUUGCCCACGUCUCGAAUAAGACAAUUCCAAUGUGUUAUUUCUAGCAAAUCACCACCCUCCUUCGUCUCCACACAUCACCACUCUCCGUCGUAUCCGCAAAUGACAACCAUCGAAUCAGGCCCAUCACCACGCACUAUCAGAUGUGAAAUCACGAAGUCGCCACCCACUUCCUGGAUCUGGAUCUAAAGUCGCGAGAUCUGGACAGCGGCCUUGCCGAGAGAGGGAAAAUGGAGAGAGAGUUGAUAGAGAAAAGAAAGGGUUGAGGGAAAGGUUGAGGGAUCACUUGUAUAUAUUUGUACUUUGCUAUAAAAUAUAAAAAGUGGUUAUAAAUAAUAAUAUUUUAAAGUAUUUUGGUUUAUAAUAAAUAGGGUGCAUUGUUUAGAUAUAACAUGUAAAAUUUUCUAUUUUAAAUUGUAAUAACAAAUUAGCCAUUGAUACGAUUAAAUUGACGUGUUUGCCUCUAACUAAAAUAUGGAACAAAACUCCAGUAAUCGAUACUGGAGUUCGAAUUGAACAUUUCCUAAGACAAAAUACAAAUUCCACGAACAAUUCUUGAUUUUUUAACUCUUACUAGUGCAGAAUUCAAGAAAAUUCAGUAAUAAUUCAUGAUUUUUGAAUUACGUUAUACUUCAGCAAUUUUUAACCUAUAACAGCUUGUUUGGAUGGUUGUUAUCUAUUGUAUUAUAUCGCGUUGGUACUUUAAAUACAAUAUUUAUUUUGAUCGUUACUUAAAUUUUAUUGUAUUAUAUCGUUAAAUACACCGUUAUGUAACGACAAAAAGUGUCACUUUGUGUAACUACGGAUUUGAUGUGAUGGCGUUGUUACCUUACUUUUUUCUCUCAUCUUACCCUUUCUUAUUAUUAAAUAAUUUUAUUUUGUCCUUUAUCCUACUUUCUUAUAUAAUAAUUCUACUAUGUGUCCUAUUUUUUCUUCGUAAUGUGGCAAAUUAUUGCUGGUGCGUGACAUCAUGAAAUGAUGACAAACGAUACAAUCUAUCUAAACGUUAUAUUCUACAAACAAUACAAUACAAUGCAUUACAAUACAAUACGAUUACAUUAUGAAACGACAUGUAACAACAAUCCAAACAAGCUGUAAAUAAAAAUUUAGGAAAAAUUAUUGGUUUUCGAACCUUUACUGCUGCAAAAUCCAAUAAAAUUCAAGAUCAGUUCAUGGUUGUUUAAUUCACAUUGUAUUUCAGCAAGUUUUAACCUUUAAAUACAAAAUUCAGGAAAAUUACUGGUAUUCUAACCUUUACUAGUGCAAAAUUUAGAAAAAUUCAUGGAGCGAUUCAUGAUUUUUGAAUUCACAUUAUACUUCUAGAUUUGUAACCUUCAAAUACAAAAUCCAUAAAAAAUAUUACUAAUUUUUGAACCUUUACUAGUGUAAAAUUCAUGAACAAUUCCUAAUUUUUUAAUUCACAUUAUACUUCAACAAUUGAGAGCUACUACUUUAGGACGUUCAAACUCCAGGAACAAUUCUUAGAUUUUAAACUUACAAAUAUUCAAAGUUCAGUAGUUGUUCCUAGAGUUGUUCCGUAUUUUUAGAUAGGGGUAUUUUUGUACAGACUUGUAUUUUCGUAUUAAUAAUGUCACGAGCCAAAAUCCCAACUAAUCGGUGCCUAACAUCCACUUGCUAGGCAAGCCGACAUUAGUUAAAGAAUUAACCGGUUCAACCAUUUUAAAAGCAUAAUAUUAAUAAUAAAAAGUUGAAGUACUAUGAAAUACAUGAAAUAAUUUCAUAAGUAACGUUGUCAAUACUAAUCCCAAAAAUUUGGAGUCACGAGUACAUGAGCGACUAGAAUACUACAAAUAUAGUCUGAAAUAAAAUACAAUUGUUUGAAAUAAGAUAAACGGUCACGUCCCGACCUUGGGGAGCGCGAGUUGUGCCUAACCGAGAUACCAGUGAAGCAUGCCUACUUGAUGUCUUCUACCCAACCUUACCCAUGAAUAAUUUAAGAAUCAAUGACAAGAGAUAGACGUGAGAGGAUAAAAUAUAAAGUACCAAGUUUCAUUACUUGUAGGGGCUUCAUUGAUAUUUACCAAAAGAUUACAAGUUCAUGCAUAUGGCAUGGAGUCUGAUUCCCGCCCGCCCCAUCGGCUAAGCUAUCUCACCCAAUUCAUGAGGGUUGACACAACAACACAAUACUACCAUGUGGACGGCAUGGCAUCCGAUCUCCGCCCGAUCGUCUAAGUCGUCUCACCACAAUGUUGUGUGGGUCGACAUGGUUCUCGCUAGCUAUCAACUCAUCCCAAUCAAGGGGAACAAUCUCAAUAUAAUAUAACGGGGAUUCACCCCUCAAUCACUCCUACACCGACACGUGUAGUUCCGGGCUUGAGCAAUUAUAACCCAGCCUUCCUCGGUAACCUAACGAUACUCCCAAAAACAUUUAUCAUAUAAAAGAAUCAUAUUUGUUUCAUAGCCUUUCAUAUUUCCUUUCAUAUCAUUGGCACUCUUGGCCACACAUGUAAAUCAUUAUUCUUGGCCCGAUGACCGUAUUUGACAUUUCAUACUCUAAUUUCUUUACUUGCCACGAAUUAUUAUAAAACAUUUAAAUACAUUUGAAAUAUUGGGAAAUUUACAGCUUCAACUCAUAAGUAUGCAAGAGCUCAAACACAUUGGAACUAAGUUCAAGGAAAAGCAUAGUGAUUUGCAUUUUGAAACAUGAAUUUAAAAUCAUAAGCCUUUGGAUAAACUAACCAUAGAAGUAGAUUUGGAAUGAUGGAAAUAGGAACUUUAUCAAACCAUAAUCAAAAUUUACAAGAAAUCUGUGAAAUUCGAUUCUAUGGAAGAAGUUUAGCCAACAUACCUCGAUUGAGCUUUUCCUUAGAAUUACUACAACGUUUCUCCUACUCUUAGUAACUUCAAUAUAUAGUAACAUCACCAAAUUUAACAAUAAUUAGGAAGGUGCCCAUAGGUUUAGCUCAUUUAGGCAUUUCUGCAACCAUCAAUUAUACAAAAUCGACUACAAAGUUCUAUGAUGGAAAUCCUUCAUCCCACAACCAAUCCCCAAGUUAAUAAUUCACCCACAUUAGUUCAACAACUUUCAUACCACCAUCAUUGGUACAUGCAUGCACAAAUGACUAACUCCUGACCCAAGAAUCAUGCCUCCCACUCCUCACAUUCAACCCCAAAUUCGAAAUUGAGAGCUGGGGGAAGACCUUACCUCUUUGUAGAAGACCUUGCAAGCUUUCCUUAUUGAAUUUCCAAGGCUUGAGCAAGAAAUUGAAGUGUGGAGAUGUUAGUGCUUCUCCUUCUCUCUCUCUCUCUCUCUCUCUCUCUCUCUCUAAAAUAUCAAACUUUUGCUUCAAAACGACACCCUUAUGUCUUUUUAUUAGAAUAGGGUCGGGUAAAAUUUCCCAAUUUUCCAACCUUUGUGCCGGUUCUACGAUCGCAGAUUAGACUGCGAAAUAGGUAUGCGGCCGUGAAGUGGACCGCGAAAUAGUUUUCCAAAAUUGGUCUGGCCUAAUCAAAUAUGCGGUCGAUUUUGCGAUCCGUGGAUCAAUUUUGUGGUCACAUAUUGGACCGCAGAAUCUCCUCCCAAAAGUUUCCCUUGCUGAAAUGCGAUGGAUGUGCGACCUGCGAACAGUUAUACGGUUGCAUAUUGGACCACAAAAUGACCUCCAAAAUUAAGCUUUUUCUUGUUCAAUCUGCGACGGUUAUGCGGCCAGCGAAACAGAUCUACGGCCGCGAAAUGGAUCGCAGAGUUGCCAUUUUUCUGCAAAAUUUCCACCAACUCCACAAUGUUUUGCACAACCCAAAAAGUCUUCAAAACACAUUAUCCCACCUCACCACCACAAAACCUCAAAUUCUUGGCAAAAUUUGAUGGGACCUUACAUAAACAGUAAAAUAAGAUAAGGAAGGGGACUUUAGGGACUACGAAUGACGUGCAGCUCUACCCCAAGUCUCCUGGAUAGAUCUGAUCCGAGAAAUCUCCUUUAUGCGCUGCUAGGACCAAUACCGAAAUCUGCACAAGAAGUGCAGAAGUGUAGUAUUAGUAAAACUGACCUCAUGUACUCCAUAAGUGCUGAGUCUAACCUCGACGAAGUAGUGACGAGGCUAUGACAAUACACUCACUAUAAACCUAUACGAAUAAUAAAUAUAAGGCAAUAGAAAUAUAGAGAAAAAGAAUAAACUCAUAAGAACAGGACCCAAAGGUCAACUAACAGAGGGACCUAGAAUAACAUCAUCUCAUAACCUCACACCACAGUACAAAAAUAGAACACCACAACUACAAACAAUUACAAAACAUCAUACCCCGUUGUGGCACGCAACUCGAUUCCAAUAUCAUUUCAAUAUAUGUUGUUGUUGCACCCUAUUUUGCACUAGUCAAAACAAGAUUCAACUUGUGAUUUCUCAGUUGUUGAUGAAAGAAAGUCGCCACCUAAUAUUUAAAGGCAUACUAGGGUACCUAUUUAAUUACUAAAGGUUAUAUUCUUUAUUGGUCUGCUAACCGGUGAGAUUAUGGGUAAGGGUUCUUGUUCUUCUAAGGGAAAGGUGUUAGGCACCCCUUAAAAUCUACCUGAGGUAGCUCUAUAAGACUUAGACUAAAUUUAAGACUAAUUGUUUGUACUAAACUUUAACUAGUGUUCAAAGAGUGUAGCUUACCAUAUAUUAGGACAUACUAUUUAUAAAGGAAGAGUGUGAUUUAAAGAAGAGGGAUUUAAAGAAAAGCCUUUAGGAANNNNNNNNNNNNNNNNNNNNNNNNNNNNNNNNNNNNNNNNNNNNNNNNNNNNNNNNNNNNNNNNNNNNNNNNNNNNNNNNNNNNNNNNNNNNNNNNNNNNNNNNNNNNNNNNNNNNNNNNNNNNNNNNNNNNNNNNNNNNNNNNNNNNNNNNNNNNNNNNNNNNNNNNNNNNNNNAGUAUUCAAAGAAGCUAAGUUAAUGCAUUUGUUUCCUAAAGCAUAUAUUAUUCUAAUAUGGUGAAAGUAUUGUGAAAGUGAUCCUAAGAUGUACCUUGGUUUCAAAUGAAAAACUUAUUUGAAAGCCUUUGUUUUUGGGACAACAAUACUUUAAUCUUAUCAAAAUGGUUGAUCCCUUUUAGAAAAUUUAAACUAGCGACGAUUCUGAUUUUCCUUUUUGAAAGAGAGAUUGUUGCCUUUGCUAUCAAAAAUCUUUAAAGAAAAAGGUUAGCAAGACAUAAUGAAUUGAUAACAAGCUCUCGAUUAAUGGUUAUAAAAUUAAUUGCUAACUAAUGCCUCUUUUAAUCCUAGAUUAUUUAAAUAUUGCCUAAGUUAUUUUAUGCGAGUUAAAGGAUAAAAUAAAGCAUCCAAUCCAAUAUAUAAUUGUCAUAUACAUAUGAGAUUAAGCAUUAGGAAAUAUAGCAAAGAACAACGACAUAGUGCAACUGAAGAAUAAUGAAAACAAUAAAUAAAGAAGCGAAAGGAAAGAAGUGACUCUGGGAGGUUUGGGCCUCAAAGAGGCAGGCCCAGCAGUAACAGAGACGAGCAACGAGCGACAUCUAAAUCUAAACCUUCUGAGACAUAGCAAGGCUGGACUUGGGCCUGAGUUCUUAAAGAACUCAGCAGGCCCAAAUCAUUGUACAUGUUUAAAAAAGAAAAGAAAAGAGAAAGUCAUUAGAAUAACAGUACUAUAUACAUAUUCAUAUGAAAUUUGUAAGCAAAUAAUAAAAGUAAAGAUCAUUGGCAGUAUUUAAAUACGAAGCAAAGUCAUACUAAUGUGGAGGUUAUGCCUAGUAAAUGAUCUACAUUGAACACCUUUCGUUGUCAUUAAACACCAAACCCAAAGAGAUUAAUAAGUGUCAAUGGAUUAAAAGCUAAGGAGAGAAUUCUACUCAAAGCCGAUGCCCCAUUUGAAUCCCCCGACACUUUAAAGUUCCCAAAGGUAUCAAGGCCCAGGGCAAUGCUUGUGCUGGGGAAAGAAGCCCAACCUAGAGUUAAACUCCACUGCCAAAUACCUUUAACCACUAACGACUAAUUCUUCUCUAUAGGUUUAAAUGCUAAUGAGGCCCUUUCAAUGCAAACCAACCACUAUGACAUUUCCUACCACAAAAGCAUACUCCUUCUUAACAGAAUAACUUAGGAAAAACUUAUAGAGACAUCAUGACUAUACUUCGGUAUUAAGCGAGUGAAACACAUAUUGAAUAGGUUUAAAAGUCAUGUUCUAAGCACAUAUGGAGGCAGGAAACAUUUGUACUAUUGUUGCUAAAGAACCAAACAACUGGAGUCAUAUGACUUAUAGAUAAAUAAGGCAUAUAGUCUUAGAGUUGUAACAACAAAUGCUAUUGUCUUAAUGGAUUAAUCAUAUGUUAGUUCAACAUUAGAUGUGAGCAUACACAUGAAUGAAUAACACCACUUGAAUCCUUUGGAAUUCUCAGUAAAGGUUCAGACAAUGAUAUGGGCAAGUUACUGUACACAAUUAAGUAAUAGCAAAAGGGUUCUCCUAUACCAAAUUUAAUCCAUAAUAACAAGGGAAAGGAAGGGUUGAGUAUAGUUUCAAAACAUUGUUCAGAAUAUGAAGUCACGAGAGAUAAACAAAGGUUCAUACCAGACUCCUACACAUACAGAGAUUUCAUGUCACGACCCAAACUCUCCCUCCGUGAAUCGUCGUGACGGCACCUAGUCUCUACGACUAGGUAAGCCUACAGCUUGCGGAAAAGAAUUAAAACAAAAAUAUGAAAAUUAACAACUAACAGUAACAUAUAUUUUAAAUAAGCAAUUGAGGUGCCGCUCGGCAUAUACAAUAAUCAACUCUCGAAAUAUACAAAACACUCCCAAAACCUGGAACACCGUAAGUCACAAGCGUCUACGAAGUUCUAACUGUUCUAUACAUCAGUGGCUAUAGAAAUAAGAGAAGAAUCAACAUAGGGGGAUAGAGGGGGACUCCGAGGAUCUGCGAGCGCGGGUAGAUGUACCUUGAAUUUCUCCAAAAACAGCAGCGACUGCAACUAAGGACAAGGCUGGUAAAAGGAACCUGGAUCUGCACACAAAAAAUAUGUGCAGGAAAGGGCGAGAGUACAUCACAGCGGUAUCCAGUAAGUGCCAAGCCUAACCUCGACCGAGUAGUGACGAGGUCAGGUCAAGGCCCUACUGGUAUAUAUAUAGUAAAUAAGCAGGAGAGUAUAACAAUAUAAUAAGAGACUGGAAUUUAAACAACGAGAACAUAGCAAAGUAGCACGCAGAACACAAGGAUAAACAGUAGGGGAUCUCCCGAGAUACAGUCUCGUAGUCCCAAAAAAUAAAGGUGCAAGGAAAUCUCCCGAGGUACCGCCUCGUAAUCUCAAAAGUAAAUAUGCAGGGAGAACUCUCGAGGAACCGCCUCGUAGUCUCAAAAGUAAAUUUGCAGGGAGAACUUCUGAGGAACCGCCUCGUAGUCUCAAAAGUAAAUAUGCAGAGGGAUCUCUCGGGAUACCGUCCCGUAGUCCCAAAGUAAAUACGCAGCUCAAACAAAUGAAUAUAACAAUUACAACACGAAAUCUAUAAUUUAGAUUAAGUACAAGUCAAGAAAGAAGCAUGAUUCUUCUAAACAUGCUGCAAAGAGUUGAAAUAGGCAAUUAGGACACGUAGGCAUGCUAUUCUAGGCUAACAGGAUAACUACACAUGCUAGUAUACUCAGAUAAGCUGAAAAUAGGCUAUCACUCGGUAAAAAUCAGGUUUUUCCACAAAUAGCUAGUGCACGCACUCGUCACCUCGCAUACACGACACUCACAUAUCAUAACAAUACCAAAUCCUAAGGGGAUUCCCCCCCCCCCCCAAAGUUAGGCAAGACACUUACCGCAAACCAAGCUCAAUCAAUCCGUAACAAUGCUCUUUCCACGAAAAUCCGACUCCGAAUGGCCCAAAUCUAGCCAAAAUCAAUUACAUACCAUAAAUACAACUAUAAGAAAUUAAUCUAAUUAAUGAAAUCAAAGCUAAGGCAAGAAAUUAGAAAAUCGCCCCAAAAGGUCUCCCCGGGCCCACGUCUCGGAAUCGGGUAAAAAUUACAAAAUAUGAACACCCAUUCACUCACGAGUUCACUCGUACCAAAAUUACUCAAAUCCAAUACCAAAAAUCUUGAUCAAAAUCCCAAAAUUCGGCCUAAGAACUUUUCUCAAAUUUUUCCCAAUUUUCCAACCUAAAUCACUAAUUAAAUGAUGAAAUUAAAGACAAUAAUCAUGGGAACUAACCAAAACUAGGUAAGAAUCACUUACCCCAAACACCCACGUGAAAAUCCCUCCAAAAAUCGCCUAAAUCCGAGCUCUCAAGUCCAAAUAGUGAAAAUUGACAUAAACCCUCGAUUUGAACCUUUAAAUUUGCCCAUUGAUUUCUUAAUCGCAAUCGCGAAAAUAGCCUCGCGAUCGUGAAGAACAACUUUGCUGCCCUAGGAUUUAACCCUACGCGAACACGAAAAUCUCCACGCGAACGCGGUUCACUAGCUCUCAUGCUUACGCGAUCGCGAACAACCCCACACGUUCGCGAAGAAUAACACUUAAAUUCCACUGUUGAUUUACUUCCUCUUCGCGAACGCGGCCUAGCCCAAGCGUUCGCGAUGAACAACCUGACUAACCUACGCGAUCGCAUCCUCAAAUUCGCGGACACGAAGAAAAACUUUAGCUGGCCUCUUAGAUUACCUUACGCGAUCGCGAGACCUCCCUCGCAAACUCGAUGAAGAAAAAGUCUGCAACAAAAUACCAGAAAAUAUGCUAUCUUCCUUAAGUCCAAAAUGGUCCGUUGAGCAUCUGAAACACACCCGAGGCCCCCGAGACCUCAAUCAAAUAUACCAAUCAAUCCCAAAAUACCAUACGAACUUAGUCAAGCCUUCAAACCACCUCAAACAAUGCUAAAAUCACGAAUCAUCCUCCGAUCUCAAACCUAAAGAACUUGAAACUUCCAAAUUCGACAACCGAUGCCGGAACCUAUCAAACCACGUCCGAUUGACUCCAAAUUUAGCACACAGGUCAUAUUCAACCCUACAGACCUAUUCUAAUUUUCGGAAUCAGAAUCUGACCCCGGUAUCAAAAUUCCAAUACCGGUCCAAAUCUCCAAAACUUCGACUUUCGUCAUUUGAAGCCUAAAUGAGCUAUAGACCUCCAAAACACUAUCCAGACAUGCCCUAAGUCCAAAAUCACCUAACGGAGCUAACAGAACCGACGGAACUCCAUUCCGGAGUCGCCUUCACACAGUUCUAACUACGGUCCAAAUCCUAAGGCUUAAACCUCCAUUUAGGAACUAAGUGUCCCAAAACACUCCAAAAACCAAAACGAAACCUCCCGGUAAGUCAUAAUAGCAGAAAUAGAUAUGGGAGAAGCAGUUAUUAGGGGAUCGGGGCUAUAACUCUCAUAACGACCUGCCGGGUCGUUACAUUUCAAUCAAGAUUAUAAUCUCACAAGACAAAAUGAGUCCCAAACAUUGCAGAAUUAGGUUAUCAGUUUCACUAGGGGGUUAAAGAUAGGGGAAACAUCAUAUUUGAAUAGACUUAAGUCAGCUAUACAUGCAUAGGUUGAAUACUAAACAUGGUGGAGUUGUACUCAACUACCGAAAACAGUUGGCAUUCAACCACAACAGGUACAACUACUCCCUAACUCAUAAGAGAUAGAUUGAUCAUAACAAGUAUCACCGAUGUGCACAGAAGUUCAUCCUAGUGGGACUGUUUGCAACUAAUAGUUAGACAUGGAAGUGAAACAUUAAUAGUGAGGAUUCAAAGGAUACUCAAGGAAUAACAAGAAUUUAUGAAAUCAUUUUGAAUAUUCAGGUUUCACAAGCCUUAACCAAGUGAGGCAGGGUUAUUCUAUAUAUCUUCAUGCAAACCCUAACUAGAAUCAUUUAACAGCAGACCCAAGUAUGGGAGGACAGAACUCAAAAGAACAUGGCAUGAUGAGUAUGAAGAUUGCAGCAACAACCCUAAAUAUAACAUAAUAGAACUCAAAGAAUAUAUGAUGAACAGAAAAAUCGAAGUAUAGGAUAACAUAACUUAGAAUGGUAUAUCAAGAUAAACAUGAAGACUAUAGCAAAACCUGAAUACAAAGUAAUAGAGCUGAGGAGAAUAUAACAUGAUGAGUAUGAGGAUUAUAAUUGAACAGAACACAUCAUGAUGAUCAUGAAGAUUACAACAGAACAUUUGAGUAAAGUUUGAAGUCUAGGUAGAUGUGAGAAAUCAUCAAGGCAGGUUAAACAACUUAAACACAUAGGCUUUUCAAUGUAGAAAUUGAGGCCAUUAAAGUCACACAACUACUUAAUUAAAACUAGAUAAAUACCAUAACUUAUCAUAGAUCACCAAUUGUUAUGACCUGGAAUCCCAACCUUGGGGUCGUGAUAGCGUCUAACAUCCACUUGCUAGGCAAGUCGACGUGAGAUAACUAAUUAGCCAAAUUUUAACUGUUUAAACAAAAUGAUGAUAAAUAACGAGAGAUAGGAACUCAAUCUAAUACAUUACCAACAUAACUCAUGUAAUAAUAUCUACUCCCAAAGAUCCAGAAUCACGAGUAUACGAGCAACUAGAAGUUCUACAAACAGAUUCUAAAAUAAAUACAAUUGUUUCGAAGGAAAUGAACAGUAAAAGAGGGAAGAGGAAGGGGACUUCAAGGUCUGCGGAUGCCAGCAGAUCUACCUCAAGCCCUCCUAUGCAAUGAUCUGAGCUGACGCAUCUCACACACUGAUGGGACCAAUACCAGAAUUUGUACAAGAAGUGCAGAAGUGUAGUAUGAGUACAACCGACCCAAUGUACUCCGUAAGUGUUGAGCCUAACCUCGAUGAGGUAGUGACGAGGCUAUGACAGGACACCUACGUAAAUAAACCUGUACAAGUAUAUAUAUAUGAAGUAGUAAAAAAAUAGAGAUUAAUAAUGUACAAUUGGGAGGGGACACGCGAAAAGGGAAAAAUACGACAACUACAGCAGGAAUGACAUCCAGUAAUAGCCAAAUAAAUCAUCAACCAAUGAAGACAGAUAAAUCAAUGAGAUAAAAAUGGCACGGCAUCACCCUUCGUGCUUUAACACUCUUCCUUACCAUGAAAUGAUGACAUAAGUAAAAUAAAAUGGCACGGCAUCACCCUUCGUGCUUUUACUCUCGAUCUCACCAUGUAACAAUGAAUAAAUGAGAUGAAUGGCACGUCAUCACUCUUCGUGCUUUUACUGUCUUCCUCGCCAUAAUAUAAUGAAUAAAUGAUAUAAAUGGCACGACAUCAACCUCCGUGCUUUAACUCUCUUCCUCAAUAUGUAUUAAUCAAUAAAUGAGAUAAAUAAAAUGGCACGACAUCACCCUUCAUGCCUUAACACUCUUCCUCACCAUGUAAUAGAGAUAAUAUAAAUUCGGGAAAUAAAUAAUGCAGAGAAUGUAUUUAAUGCCAAAUAUAAUGCCAAGAUACCAAACUUCAACUUCCGAAAUACUCAACAAUUACUAACUAAGCAAUAAUUACAGAAGGAAUGAUCAAAUACGUGAUAAUCUAACCUAAGCAUGGAUAUCAUAAUUACAAAUUCAAUAAAUCACAAGGAAACAAGUUCCACCCGCAUGCUUUAACCCAACAACAACGCAUAAGUCCUCGUCACCUCACAUAUACGCUGUACCCACACAAUAAACACGUAGCAAAUAGGCAAACAAGUCCUAAUACCUUAAGUCAAGGUUAACCACUACACUUACCUCGCUCCACAAUCAAAUCAAAGCUCAACCGGGGCCUUUCCUCUAAAAUUCUCCUCCAAACCAAUCAAAUCUAAUCAAAUAUCGUUCAAACAAUUCAAAAUAAGCUUUAGAAACUACCCAUAAGUGGACAAGAUUCAAUUUAUAAUGAUUUCAAAAUAAGUCAACAAAAGUCAACCCCGGGCCCGCUUGGUCAAAACCUGAGAUUCAGACCAAAACCCAAUUACUCAUUAACCCUCGAGCCCAAUUAUGUAAUUAGUUUUUAAAAUCCGACCUCAAUUUGAGGUCUAAAUCUCAAUUUUAUAAAAUUUCCCAAUUUUAUCCAAAUCUCUAAUUUUCUACCACGAAGGAGCAUAAAUUAAGGUUAGAAAACAAUGGGUGUUGAUGUAAAUGGAAGAAAACGAGUUAAAGUACACUAACUUACGAAGUAGGGGAUGAAAUCUCUCUUCAAAAUCGUCUCUAGACCGAGCUCUGAUGAGAAGAUAGUGAAAAAUGGGUGAAAUCCUGAUUUUUAGAAGUUUAAAUGACUGGGCGUCAGGUGUUCAUCGCAUUUGUGAGACACCUGAUACGUUCAUGAAGAGCACUGCCCAGUUGUCCAUCGCGAUCGUGAUCAACCCUCCGCGUUCGCAUAGGCUUAACCCCACUUGCCUUCGUGCUCGUGAGCCUGGGCUCGCGUUUGCGUAAAGUAAAUUUCAUUUGGAGUGGAUUGCGAUUCACAUUGGGUGGUGCCAUAGUGCACUGAAUGGCUCCGCUCUUGAUCAAUAUUUCAAUCUCAUUUUUUAGCUUAAAACAAUCUUCAGUAUCAUGCCCAAGCAUGUUAGAAUUGUACACGCACCUUUUAGUUGCAUAAAAAUAUUUGGAGGGAUACUCAGGAAUCCUUCCUUCCACUAGAUGUAUCAAUCCUGCUCUUCUUAAUCUCUCGAACAAUUAGGCCAGAGGAUCAGCAAUCGGGGUAUAAUUUCUGGGACCCCUCUCUUCAAAAUUGGGACGAAGGCGUGGUGCAUAAGUGGGCCGGUUUUGAUGGGUAAUGGUUUGGACAUGAGCAUAUGGUCAUUGUGGGUUCGGGUUGUUAUGGGCUCAAGGAGGGUUGUAUUGGGGUUGGGGCUGGUAAUAUGGCUGGGUGUUAUAGACUGCGGCGUAAGCGUGUGGCGGUGAAUGGUUUGUUUAGGGAAUAUGAAGUGUUUUCAUGAUGUUGGUUGGGUUGAUAGUAAGGGACGACUGCUGAGACCUCCUCUUUCUUAUUCUUUCUGCUACCGAUUGACCCUGAUUGGAUUGCCUUGCUGGCCGCUUGUAGUGCUGCCAUGGAUUGCACUUUACCAGAUUUUAUAACUUUUUUAAAGAAAUCUCCCAUCUUGACCGGCUCGGGGAAUUUCUGUCCCAUCAUUCCCAUCACUUUUUCAAAGUAUAUCCCUUCCUGGGCUCUGAUGAAAUACUUGGUUAAUUCACUGUCGUCCAGCGGAGGUUGCGCCCUGGAGGCCUCUGACCUCCACCGACGUGCAUAUUCUUGAAUGACUCAGAUGGCAUUUUUUGCAGGUUCACCAGUGCGAACCUAUCGGGAGUGAUCUUUAUGUUGAAUCGAAAGCGAUUCAUGAAGUCCUCCGCUAUAUCUUGCCAGGUUCUCCAGUUUCGCGGAUCCUGUCGAGUAUACUAGGUGAGUGCUUCUCCCGUCAGGAUCCUUAUGAAUAACUUCAUUCUUAGCUUCUCGUUCCUCCCCACUUCGACUAACUUGUCACAAUAUGUCCUCAAAUACGCGUGGGGAUCACCCGUCCCGUCGAAGAUAUCGAACUUUGGAGGCUUAUACCCUAUUGGCAUAUCCACAUCCGGAUGGAUACACAGAUCCUCGUAGUCCAAAGUUUCACUUCCCCGGGCAACUUAGAGGUUCUUCAUUUAUUUUCUCAAGAUUUACAAUUGCUCAGAUAGUGACUCCUCUUCCUUACGCCUGACUUCCCUCUCCAUCUCGACGUAUUGGUCAAUCUCAUAAGGCACCCUGACCGUGACAGGCAAUGUAAAGGUCGGUUCAGAAAUGGCAUAUAUAGGAGGAACAUAUCGCUCAUGGGCGGCGGUAUAUGCCACAGGUAUGUGCUGAUUUGGGUGAGUGGUAAAAGUGACUCCGUCACGAGCAGGGGUGUGAGUUACGUUGGUGGUGAUAGGCGGGGGUUUGUGGUGUUUGAACAUACUGUGGUACGUAGGGAGUGUGGAUAGGGGGAUUUGGUGGGUUUGCAGGGGUUACUGGAGGUAUGACUUGAAUAGUAGGGACUGAAGUUGGGGUGUUGUUGUUUUGGCGUGAUGUGGAAGGAAAGUGGUCGGGUAUUGAAUCCAAAGAAGGAAAGCGAGGUAGUUGAGGGAGCAUUGUCACAGCUAGAUGUGCUAGUUCCAUAAUAUGUUGUACUUCCUCCCUUAAAGACUCCAUCUCUUGGGUCAUCCCGGCCACAUGUUCAUCAUUCCUGGUAUCGUCUUUCUCUCCCGAUCACCCCGGGCUAUCGACUAUGACCAGAGCAUGUUCAGUCAGGAUUUCUGCAGCAGGCAUCUUUCCCUUUGAUCUUAGAUAGUAUGGUGGUUCCGCCAGUUUUGGGUCAACAAAAACCAACUUUCUUUUUGGGGAGCAAUAAUAAAGUAAAAAAAACAAGAGGAAAGAAAAGAAAAAGAAGCAGGAAUCAGUUUUUUCAUUUAUACAAGCAGGAAACCACACAGAGAAAUUAAUUCACGUAUUAAGGUUAGAUCGCGGGACCUCUCAUUGCCGGAGGUAGGCCUAAAUCACGGAUGUUUGACAAGCAAUUAGACUUGACACAUUUAGAUCCGAAGCAAGUUUAUUUUCAUUGAUAGUUUUUGGAGGGAGAUAAGUGGGAACAAAGAUUACAUCACUGUUUCAGAUAUUCAUAGAACUGCAUAGGCUUAAACAACUUGCCCUUUAGGAAAGUAAGAAAAAAUUGGGGAUAAGGGUACAAAGUGGGAUAGAAUGGGAAAUCAACCAACUUCUAGUAACCAUCCCCGGAAUCAUUUUCCAUCUCCUCUUCUUCCUCCGGAUAUUCCUCCGUGUCUUCUUCAAACUCCUUUUCUUCAUCGUUGAACUCAGACCCUUCCUCUAGAUCUUCUUUCGGCUCUGUCCCAAACUCUAUCUGGAUGCACUCCACUACCCGAUCAUCGUCUUCAGCGGGUGACGACAUGUGAUCGAUGGAUCCUGGGACCAUUUGAUGGUGCAUUGAGGUUGUCAUAAGGUAAUGUGGCAAAAUCUCAUGGUAGAUUUGCAAAACAGCCACUGUGUCCUCCAUCCAGGCUAUAUCCUCUCUUGCUUGGUAGGGCUAGCUCGUCUUCUUCAUUUAUCCAGACAUAAUACUCCGGAGUGCACCACGAGUUUUGACCCAUCAGCAUUGUGACCAGGUCGUUCCACUCUUCUUGGAGCCUUCUUAUCCUAGGAAUUGGAAUUCGUCCGUUGUACUCAUCCUCAUAUAGCGUUGUUCUCGUGCAUACAGGUACAUCCUAGAUCAUCCAAAACUGUCUGAGAACCCGCAGGGGUGAGUAUGGUUAGAUGCCCUCAAGUCCGAUCAGCUCAAUGAAGUAUUUAUGAGGAAUCCUUAAGAUUUCCCUCCCACCUAACCAUGAUAGCUUCCAGUUGACCCAUUCUCCACUUAGAUUAGUCAGCAUUUCCCUCCACUCUUCUUGCCCAUGUGGGGAGACCCAAUGUCUCAUCCUCUCCUUGUGGCUGUAGAUCAUGUUGUUGAUGCCCACCAAGUAGUCAAUGGUGGCCUCUCGCUGGAAGAAAUAUUUUGUGGCCCAGAUAUGAAGUAGCAAGUUACAACCCUUAAAGAAAUCAUACCCUCGUGCACAUGCGGACAAAGCCCGCAUAAUCUCAGUUAGCACCAUGGCACCAAUGUAGCUUGAAGGUUGCCAUGGAAGGUCGCCAGAACCACGGGUAAUAAGUUGAUGUUGAUCCGACCCUUACUCUAUGGGAAGACCAAUAAUCCACAAUGCCAAUGAGAAGGUGAUAGGCCUGAGACUCUCCCACAUUGAUUGAUUACACUGAAACUCUCUCGAAUACCACUUAUAACUUUCAUGAUGGUCAAAUCUGUCGAACAACUGGUCGAGGCUCACCCAUCCAUCCUCGAUAUUUCUCAGACCCCGACUGUUAGUCAGGCCCAAAGUAUCUAAGAACUUGUAACCGGGCAUAGUGACUGGUAGUAUUGGCUUCCUUCCUAUGAAUGGCAACUCCGUGAAACUUGUAACUUCUUCCAAUGUCGGUACUAACUCAUAAUUGGCAAACUUGAACACCACCUUAGCUGGAUCCCCGAACUCUAUCAGCAGGCGAGUGAGCACCCUUUCUGCUCGUAUGUUUAGCAAAUCGGUUAGUUCCCCCAGGUGUGUCCGAAUCUCAUCUUUGUGUUCCCAGUGAAUGUUCUUCCACCACUUCUUCAACUUGUGUGGCGCUCCCAUUACCAUGUUAAUCUCGGGGAUGUUUUGGUUGAUUUCCAUUUUCUGAAGUGGGUAAAAAAGACUUUGGUAAGUGUUUGCUUUGGAUCUUUAGAUGUCUUGUCAGGGUUUUUCAUCUUUCCACAGAAGUCAUAUUGUUGGGUGCAUGACCCGUUGACAUUAGGGUGGCUUUCCUAAUUGUGUGUCGUUGCCAAGUACCGACUCACCUAAGGUUUAUGCAAUAUGACCUAUUUUUGCUAGAGUAGAGUAUUUCCUACUUUUGAGUUGGAGUGAAGACUGCGAGAAGUUAUGUCAGUUGACCUAACAAAGCCAUUCUCUAAAACUAGAGAGUUUUGAAAAGAAUGUUCGGAGGGGCGUAAAAGACAACCCUCAUGUGCCAUUGUGUGUGAUAGUGUAUGGCCAAGACUCGAUAGGAAGAAGUGUGAUGACAUUAUAUGUAAAGCAGUAAUAGAUAAGUGUGUCGAAACAAGGAGCAUGAUAAUAAGAAUAAAGAGCAAAUAAAGCAGGUAAGCAUGUAAUUUCAAAUUUAGCCACAAUAAAACAAUGUACAAACAAAUCUAAGUGCCAAAUUCAGUCUAAGUCUGCUAAGGUCAGAACCUAAGUGUGAAUCCUCAACAGAGUCGCUAUGUUGUUGCACCCUAUUUUGCACUAGUCAAAACAAGAUUCAACUUAUGGUUUAUCUGUUAUUGAUGAAAGAAAGUCGCCACCUAAUAUUUAAAGGUAUACUAGGGUACCUAUUUAAUUACUAAAGGUUAUAUUCUUUAUUGAUCUGCUAACCGGUGAGAUUAUGGGUAAGGGUUCUUGUUCUUCUAAGGGGAAGGUGUUAGGCACCCUUUAAAAUCUACCUGAGGUAGCUCCAUAGGACUUAGACUAAAUUUAAGACUAAUUGUUUGUUCUAAGUUUUAACUAGUUUUCAAAGAGUGUAGCUUACCAUAUAUUAGGACACAAUAUUUAUAAGGGAAGAGUGUGGUUUAAAGAAGAGGGAUUUAAACAAAAGCCUUUAGGAAAUUAGUGUUAAUAUAAAUAUAAAUAUAUAUAUAUAUAUAUAUAUAUAUAUAUAUAUAUAUAUAUAUAUAUAUANNNNNNNNNNNNNNNNNNNNNNNNNNNNNNNNNNNNNNNNNNNNNNNNNNNNNNNNNNNNNNNNNNNNNNNNNNNNNNNNNNNNNNNNNNNNNNNNNNNNNNNNNGAUACUAAGAUGUAUCUUGGUUUCAAAUGGAAAACUUGUUUGAAAGCCUUUGUUUUUUGGGACAACAAUACUUUAAUCUUCUCGACAUGGUUGAUUCCUUUUAGAAAAUUUAAACUCGCGGCGAUUCUAAUUUUCCUUUUUGAAAGAGAGACUUCUCCCUUUGUUAAGUCUUUGGAAUUCAAAAAUCUUUAAGGAAAAGAUUAGCAAGGCAUAAUGAAUUGAUAACAAGCUCGCGAUUGGUGGUUAUAGAAAUAAUUGCUAACUAAUGCCUCUUUUAAUCCUAGGUUUUUCAAGUCUUGCCUAAGUUAUUUUAUAAGAGUUAAGAGGAUAAAAUAGAGCAUCCAAUCCAAUAUAUAAUUGUCAUAUACAUAUGAGAUAAAGCAAUAGGAAAUAUAGCAAAGAACAACAACAUAGUGCAACUGGAGAAUAAUGAAAACAAUAAAUAAAGAAGCAAAAGGAAAGAAGUGACUCUGGGUGGUUUGGGCCUCAAAGAGGCAGGCCCAGCCGUAACAGGGACGAGCAACGAGUGACAACUAACCCUAAACCUUCUUAUACAUAGCAAGGCUAAACUUGAGCCCGUGUUCUUAAAGAACUCAGCAUGCCCAAAUCAUUGUACAUAUUCAAAGAAAAAGAAGAGAAAGUCAUUAGAAUAACAGUAGUAUAUACAUUUUCAUUUGAAAUUUGUAAGCAAAUAAUAAAAGUAAAGAUCAUUGGCAGUAUUUAAAUGCUAAGGAAAGUCAUACUAAUGUGAAGGUUAUGCCUAGUAAAUGAUCCACAUUGAACACCUUUCGUUGUUAUUAAACACCAAGCCCAAAGAGAUUAAUAAGUGUUAAUGGAUUAAAAGCUAAGGAAAGAAUUCUACUCAAAGCCGAUGCCCCCUUUGAAUCCCCUGACACUUCAAAGUCCCAAGGCAAUGCUUGUGCCGGGGAGAGCAGCCCAACCUAGAGUUAAACUCCACUCCCAAAUACCUUUAACCACUAACGACUAAUUCUUCCCUAUAGGUUUGAAUGCCAAUGAGGCCAUUUCAAUGCAAACCAACCGCUAUGACAUUUCCUACCGCAAAAGCAUACUCCUUCUUAACAGAAUAACUUAGGAAAAACUCAUAGAUACAACAUGACUAUACUUCGGUAUUAAGCAUGUGAAACACAUAUUAAACAGGUUUAAAAGUCAUGUUCUUAGCACAUAUGGAGGCAGGAAACAUUUGUACUAUUGUUGCUAAAGAACCAAACAACUAGAGUCACAUGGCUUAUAGAUAGAUAAGGCAUAUAGUCUUAGAGUUGUAACAGCAAAAGCUAUUAUCUUAAUGGAUUGAUCACAUGUUAGUUCAACACUAGAUGUGAACAUACACAUGAGUGAAUAACACCACUUGAAUCCUUUGGAAUUCUUAGUAAAGGUUCAGACAAUGAUAUAGGCAAGUUACUGUACUCAAUUAAGUAAUAGCUAAAGGGUUCUCCUUUACCAAAUUCAAUCCAGAAUGACCGGGGAAAGGAAGGACUGAGUAUAGUUUCAAAACAGUGUUCAAAAUAUGAAGUCACGAGGGAUAAAUAGAGGUUCAUACCAGACGCCUACAAAUACAAAGAUUUCAAUCAAGAUUAUAACCUCACAAGACAAGAUGAGUCCCAAAUAUUAGAGAAUCAGGUUAUCAGUAUCAUUAAGGGGUUAAGGAUAGAGGAAACAUCAUACUUGAACAGACUUGAGUCAUCUAUACAGACAUAGGUUGAAUACUAAACAUGGUGGAGUUGUACUCAACUACAGAAAAUAGUUGGCAUUCAACCACAACAUGUACAACUACUCCCUAACUCAUAAGUGAUAAAUUGAUCAUAACAAGUAUCACUGAUGUGCACUGAAGUUCAUCCUAGUGGGAUUGUUUGCAACUAAUAGUUAGACAUGGAUGUGAAACAUUCAUGGUGAGGAUCCAAAUGAUACUCAAGGACUAACAAGCAUUUAUGAAAGCAUUUUGAAUACUCAGGUUUCACAAGCCUUAACUAAUUGAGGCAGGGUUAUCAUAUAUAUCUUCAUGCAAACCCUAACUAGAAUCAUUUAACAAUGGACCCAAGUAUGGGAUGAUAGAACUCAAAAGAACAUGGCAUGAUGAGCAUGAAGAUUGCAACAAGAACCCUAAAUAUAGCAUAACAUAACUCAAAGAAUAUAUGAUGAAUAGAAAAACCUAAGUAUAAGAUAAUAGAACUUAGAAGGGUACAUCAUGUUAAACAUGAAGACUAUAGCAGAACCUGAAUACAUAGUAACAUAGCUUAGGAGAAUAUAACAUGAUGAACAUGAGGAUUAUAAUUGAAUAGAACAUAGCAUGAUGAUCAUGAAGAUUACAAUAGAACAUUUGAGUAAAGUCUGAAGUCUCGGUAGCUUUGAGAAAUCAUCAAGUCAGGUUAAGCAAUUUAAAUACAUAGGCUGUUCAAUGCAGAAAUUGAGGCUAUUAAAGUUAAACAACUACUUAAUUAACACUAGAUAAAUACUACAGCUUAUCAUAGAACACCAACAAGCCAUGCUGAACUUUUGUAAAUAAUCACAUACUGAAUAAAUAUUAUAAACUAAACAAUUAACCAGGAAAAUAAUAUCGUGUUCAUGAUUUUCAAAUGAAGCAAUUAAGGGAGGGAGGAUGGAGGUGUACUGGCCUCCUUUUGAGCAGCAUACCAAACAAAAGACUCUUGUUUAGCCGUGUAAAAUCUAGAACUCACCCCGACCAGUAUAAUACUCAGAAUCAGAAGGAAACCAGAAGCUAGUUAGAACCCUUGCUUAAUUUACUACUCAAAACUAAAAUCGAGAUCUUUCUAAGUAAUUUUGCGAUAGCUUUUUGUGUCUAUUGGGUGUGUUAGUUCUGUAGGUUGAAGAUGUUAAGUCUAUAUUGUUAUGUGUUAGGUGAGAGCAUUGAAAGCCUUAUUUAUAGUGCCAUUAAUGGCUUAGGAUUUCAGCAGAAUUCAAAUUCAAUAGUGGAGAGUGACGAUUGCCAAGUGAUGCAAGCAAGAUCGAGUGAAAAAUAUGGGGAACAUAUGGGAAAUCAUUUAGGGUUUACCUGAGAGGAGAGAAGUGAGAGGCCGGCCAUUGAGGCAUGAGAUACCACUAGCCAAAACCCUAAUACCCAGAGGUCAUUGCAUUUUACCUCUGGGUGUCGAACACCAACGUUGAAGCCAACUAGCAUCUCAGGCUUACUUUGAUUUGAAGAGACGAAGGAAGAAAAUCCGGCGAGUUAAAAUUUCACCCUUUUGGUCUGAAUUUUUAGAUUAAGGAUUUGAAAUCGAAUCGUGAAAAUGGAAAGAGUGACAAAGUCUGAGAUACAAGAGCAAAACGAAUAGCCAUGCAUGCCACAUAUUUGAAAGAUUAAUGGCGAUUUGAGGUUUUAUUUUUUGGGGGUUAGGGUUCGGAUUUGGGAGUUUAAGUUUCUGAUGAUGAGAUAGGAAAGGUUCAGCGGGAAUCACAGCUAGGUAAGGCAAAUGAGAUGAAUCUCUGAUGAAUUCGUGACCUUGCACGAAUUUGUGCAAGGUCUGGUGAUUGAUUUGGCUUGUGUGGUUGACAGAAAAGAGAGAGGAAGGAGAAAGAGAGGCGACUGUGUCGGAGGAAAUGAUUUUAGGGUAUGUUGGGGUAUUGGGGGUUGUCUCUAAGGUUAAAGAUAGGAGAUAGGAUCUGGGCCGUUAGAUCUGGUGAUAAACGACCCUGAUAAUUCGGUUGUUUAAGAUUUUUGGGAAGGAAUUUUUGUGGCCAUUGGAUCAUGGGAUUUGGAAGAUGGAGAUAAGAUCUCUGGGGGCGGGUGUUUAAAAAUCAAAGAAAAUUAGAGAUUAAAUGUUAGCCGCUGAUCAGAUGGACCAACAGUUCAGGUACAUGUGUGUUUAUUUUGUAAGUGAUUAGGGAUGAUGAUGUGGCACGAUCCCAUUGAUUCAGGGAGAGGGACGCAGAUCGCCACAGUGGCUUAGAGGGUCUUUUGGACUGGGUGUUUUUCCGGAUUGGGCUUGUCAUUAGGGCCAAAUGAGUUUGAAAGAUGACCAUCUUGUGUUUAAUUAGAGAUUUGCAAUUGUAGCCUUUUUAAUCCCUUUUGAAAUUAAUUUAAUUAAACUUAAUUAUUUCCAAUAAAACAUAGUAGAAAUUAGAAUCAUCAAAUACGCUAGUAAUAAUAAUUAAUUAUUUAUAAAAUACUUUUUCUUUAAAAUUAUAAAACUAAUUUUGAAUAUAACAAUCUAAUUAAUCGGACUUUGAGAAAUAAUUCGUGAAAUUAAUUAUAAAGCCUAGAAGAUUUAUUUUAGAAAUUGUUUUAAUGAUAUUUAAAGUAGUAAGUAUAUUUUUAAUUACAUAAUGUUAAUACUAGGUUAUUAAUUUUAAAACUAAUACUUAAUCAAUUUUGCAAAAUAGGUAUUUAUUGAUAGAAAAUACUUUCAACGAGGCCUUUCCUCCAAAAUUCGCCUAUAAACCAGUCGAAUCUAACCAAAUAUCAUUCAAACAAUUCAAAAUAAGCUUUAGCAACUACCCAUGAGUGAAAAAGAUUCAAUCUUUAAUGAUUUCAAAAAGAGUCAACAACAGUCAACCCCGGGCCCGCCUGGUCAAAACUCGAGAUUCAGACCAAAACUCAAUUACCCAUUCACGCCCAAGCCCAAUUAUGUAAUUAGUUUUGAAAUCCGAGAUCAAUUUGAGGUUUAAAUCCCAAUUUUAUAAAAAUCUCCAAUUCUACCCAAAACCCUAAUUUUCUACUAUGAAGGAGCAUAAAUUAAGGUUAGAAAUCAAUGGGUGUUGAUGGAAAUGGAAGAAAGCGAGUUAAAGUACACUAACCUACGAAGUGGGGAUGAAAUCUCUUUUCAAAAUCGCCUCUAGGACGAGCUCUAAUCAGAAGAUAGUGAAAAAUGGGUGAAAUCCCAAUUUUUAGAAGUUUAAAUGACUGGGCGUGAGGUGUUCAUCGCGUUCGCGAGACACCUGACGCAUUAGCAAAGAGCAUUGCCCAGUUGGCCAUCGCGAUCACCAUCAACCCUCCGCGUUCGCAUAGGCUUAGCCCCACUUGCCUUCGCGUUCACGAGCCUGGGCUCGUGUUCACGUAGAGUAAAGUUCAAUUCCUCAGUCCCCCCUCCUAACACUACGCAUUCGCAAGAAAGGUAGACCCCCCUCAAAAGUUCAGACUCUAGCAACAACCAAAACUAACAAAUUUCUUAAGUCCAAAAUCACUUAGUAACCUAUCCGAAACUCACUCGAGUCCCUCGGGCUCCAAACCAUACAUGCACACAAGUGUAAUAACAUCAUACGAACUCGCUCGCGCGAUCAAAACACCAAAAUAAUACCUAGAACUAUGAAUCAGACGUCAAAAUGAAUGAUAUUUUCAAAGAAACUCAACAAUAUGUAAUCUUACAACCGGACGUUCGAAUCAUGUCAAAUCAACUCCGUUUUGCACCAAAUUUUUUAGACAAGUCAUAAAUACUGAAAUAAACCUAUACCAAGUUUCAGAAAAUAAUCCGAACCCGGUAGCAAUAAAGUCAACAUACGGUCAAACUUAGGAAUUCUUUUAGCCUUCAAAUUACUAGUUUUCAGCAGAUCACGCUAAAUCAGGUUAGGGACUUCCGAAUUCAAUUCCGGGCAUAUGCCCAAGUCCCAAAUUACGAUACGGACCCACCGUGACCAUCAAAAUACUGAUCCGGGUCCGUUUACAAAAUAUUGACUGUAGUCAACUCAAUUCAUUUUAAGGCUAAAUUUUACAUUUUUAUAAAUGUUUCACAUAAAUUUUUUUCGGAAAGAGACACGGGCUGCGCAUACAAAUCGAGGAAGGCUAAACAGAUCUAUUCGAGGUCUCGAAACACAAAAAUAAAAGCUAAAAUUGAAAAUGACCUACCGAGUCAUCAUACCAACAAGUCAUGAUGAACCAAAAGUAAACAAUCACAGACUGAAUAAUAUUACCUAAUUGCAGUUAAAGCAGAUAACUCAAAACAACAGAAAUAACCUCACUAGGUCUCAACAGAAUAAGCACAUAGCCUAAACAGGAUUUCUAGCAUGGAUCCCAGUUCAAUUACUACAACAAAGAAGGAUUUCACAGAUAGUACAAGACUUAUUAACAACACAAUACAAAAGAAUCAAACAGAUCAUAAUUUCCACGAUGCACGCCCAUACGCCCGUCACCUAGAGUGUGCGUUACCCCAACACAAACCAUAUAACAUAUUUUGAUGGGAUUAUACCCUCAGUUCCAAGUUUAGAAGUGUUACUUACCUCAAAGUGUGCAACUCAAUGCUCCAACAAACCCUUGCCUCACGAAUCGGCCCUAGAACGACUCGAAUCUAGCCACAAGCAUCUUAAUAUAAUUAAUACAAGCUAUAGGAAUCGAUUCCAUACGAUAAAGCUAAGAUCUUUAACCAAAUUCAAAAAGUCAACCCAAAAAGUUAACCUUGGGACCACGCCUCAAAAAUUCACAAAAUCCGAAUACUCAUUCAAUUAUGAGUCCAACCAUACCAAAAUUAUCCAAUUCCAACCACAAAUCGACCUUCAAAUCCCCAAAUCUUACUCUCCAAUACAUAGACCACAAAUCUUCCAAAUUUCACCUCAAACACACAUAAUCUAGGUGUAAAAUCAAUAAGUAUUCAAUAUUUAUGAACAAAGUGAUAAAAAGUUACUUACCUCUUGAAUUAUAGUGAAAUCCCUCUCAAAGGUCGCCACUAGCCGAGCUUCAAAAGUCCAAAAAUGAAGAAAAUGGCUCAAACCCUCGACUAUAUCCUUCUGCCCAGGCAUUCUCGCUUCUGCGAGCUCAAACACUACACUUGCAAUUUCGCUUUUGCACAAAAAAACUUGCUUCCGCGAAAAAUCAUUAAAAUUUCCGACCUGCCGCUUCUACGGUCCAAGUUCCGUACCUGCGGGAGCGCACCUGCAGAACUUCUCCGCUUCUACGACUCCAGCUCUCCUAUCCAAAAUUCACACCUGCCAGCUCGCAAAUGCGAAAAGUGCCUCGCAUAUACGGCCUUUGCCAAGCCUAGACAGUCUCCACACCUGCGUUCCUCCUGUCGUUUCUUCGACUUCGCACCUGCAGCCCCAGUAUCGCAAAUGCGAUCACACCAGGCAUCAGAAAAUUCAGCCAAGUUCCAAGUCCAAAACCAAUCCGAAAUCAAUCUGAAUCUCACCCGAGAUCCCAUCCAAAUAUACCAACACAUCCUAAAACGUGAUACGAACUUAGUCGAAGCCUCAAAUUACAUCAAACAACAUCAAAAAUAUGAAUCGCAUCCCAAUUCAAGCCUAACGAAACUAAUAAAUUUUCAACUUCUAAAACUAAUACCGAAACCUAUCAAACCAACUCCGAUUGACCUCAAAUUUUGCACACAAGUCAUAAAUUACACAACGGACCUACUUAAACUCCCGAAACUAAUAUCUGAGUCCGAUAUCAAUAAAGUCAACUCUCGGUCAAACUUCUCAAUCUUUCAAACCUUCAACUUCCUAACCUUUCGCCAAUUCAAGCCAAAAUGAUCUACGGACCUCCAAAUCAAUAUUUGGACAUACUCAUAUGUCCAAAAUCACCACAAGAAGUUAUGAGAACCAUCAGAACUCUGUUCCGGAGUUGUUUACAAAUAAGUCAACAUCCAAUCAACUCUUUCAACCUAAGCUUCCAACCGUGAAACUAAGUGUCCCAAUUUACUCCGAAAUAUCUCCGGAACUAAACCAACCACUCCGGCAAGUCACAUAACCAAAAAUGAACAUAGAAUAAGCAAUAAAUGGGAAAACGAGCUACAAUAUUCAAAAUGACCGGCCGGGUUGUUACAUCGUACAAGUCCAAAAAUAUUAUACGAACCUACCAGAAUCGUCAAAAUACCGAUCCGAGGUCGUUUACCAAAAUUAUUGACCGUGGUCAACUCUAGCAUUAAUUUAAGUCAAAAAUCACGUUUUCUUCAAAAAUUCACAUAAAAGCUUUCCGAAAAAUGACACGGAUCAUGUUCGCAAGUCAUAUAACAUCAAAUGAAGCUAUGAGAGGUCUCAGAACAUAAAAAUUAAGGCUAGUACUCAAAAUGACCUUUCGGGUCGUCACAAAUAAGUGACUACUUUGCCAAUACAAUUCAAAAUGUGGCUUAUUUACCAAGAUUGUGGAUUGUAAAAGAAUUAUAUACAAAGAUAAUAAAUUUGUAUAAAUAUUUAAUUUAAAUAAAUCUGUGGAGAAGCACAAUUCGACUAGAUAUAUGAAUGCAAUGACAUGAUAAAAUUAAUGCUCAUGCAAAGUGAACCAUAUUCCUUCGUGACAAAUAAGACUGGUAGACACCUGGUCGAUACACUUGGCCAAAUGAAAUCCUUCUCUAAGAAGUCUUAUAAAUGCUCUUUUAGUUCCUUUAACUAUGUUAGAGCCAUUCGAUAAGGCGAAACAGAUAUGGGCUGAGUCUUUGACAUAAAGCUUACUCAAGAAAGACAUCCAAAAAUUUAUGCACAAACAACAAGAGGUGAAGGGAUGAUGCAUCAGCAUUUAUGUCCUAACUCUCACUAAUAAAGUAACCUUUGGCGAUUUCUUGCCCUAAUGUAGGAAAAACCUACCCAACGAUAAUUUAAUAUUUUCGUUCCAUUCAAUAACAAGAUCAAUUCAUGCGCAUAAUUGUAUCAACGUCAAAUUAUUUUUAAUUCGAUAAGACCUGCCAUAGUAUUUCGGCUAUGUACUGUAAUGGUACAACUCUUGUAAAUCCAUAUGGCCACUAGAGAAUCACCAAAUGAAAUAGAAGUUAAGAACGGUUCACCUAACUGCGUACUAUUUGUACAUUAUGCCCCUUUACAGUUUUAAAAUUAAAAAAAAUGAGCUUUUUAGAUCUCUUAUAUGUAAAAGGCAAAUCUCUUUAUGUGUAAAAGUAAAUCUCCCAUGUAUAAAAAAAGAGACAGAGUUAUAAAACUAAAAACAAGUUUGUAAAGAGCCAAAAACUCAAUUGACCCCGUAACUGCUCAGGCCAUACCUCGAAUCUCGAUGCAAAGUAGGGCAUAUAUAUAUAUAUAUAUAUAUAUAUAUAUAUAUAGUAAUAAGUAAACUAAANNNNNNNNNNNNNNNNNNNNNNNNNUACAUUAUAUAUAUAUAUAAUGUAGAAACUAAAUCGAAAACAUAAGCAUCAUGUAGGCAAACUGAUUAGGUAUAAGCAUAUUAAAUAAAGGUUAUCUAAGGGCAAUAAAGCUUGAUCUAAGGAUUGAUGGUGUUACGAUCCAAAAUUAUGUGACUGAACCUGGUACACUACCUGAUCCAAGUGAAUCGAUCGUACAAGAAUACCCAUUUAUCUAUAUUAUAUUAAAAACACGAAAACUCUUAGCGAAAUGUUGUUCGCUCUUUUACCCUUUAAAAGUAGAGUUCACACUGGACAAAAUAAUCAUUCUUAUUAAUUCCCUAAUAACUAGGAAUAGCUAUUUAAUUAUUUCUCUAAUAUUUAGGAAUAAUUAUUUAAUUAAUUUAAUAAUAUUUAAUACUUUAAAAUCAAGAAAAUCUUUACUAGAAAUAUUUCUUUAUUUAAAAUACAUAAGAAAUCUUAAUAUUUAGGACUUUAUAAUUAAUAAAAGUUUUAUCUUAUUUAAAUUAACAUAAUUUUCAUAUUGAGAUAAUAUGAAUUAUAUUCUUUGAUGGGUGAAACUCACUUGAGGGACAAAAAGUAUGUUUAUUAUUUAAAACUUAAACAUAAUCAUUGCACACACUAUAAUAAUGAUUUAUCUGAAUGCACAUUAAAAUUUACAUGAAAUGUUAAUAGAUUUUCAUGCCUUUUGAGAAUUAUAUUGCAUUACGAUACCUUCAUGUUGCUUAAGAUAAUAAUAAUAAUAAUAAAUAUUAAUUUUUCUACCUUAAAUUUUUAUUAUAAUCAUUUUUUUUCUUCUAAAAACGCAUACAGUUGGGUUUAAACAAUACUCAUCCAGUUAAAUCCUUUGUAUGAAGUUAAACCUAAUAAUAUGGAGCUUUUUUUUUUUAUCUUUUAU